GGGUGAUGCAAGUGUUAUCCCCUCUGGUGGGAGAGAGCUUGGCCCCUGGGUCACUCUGCUGGGAAGGGCAGGGAGAGGAGGAGCCUGAGGGGAGUGACCAGGGAAAACUCAUUUUCCCUUGGGAUAGAACUGGGUCCCUCGAGGGAGGGAAGCAGGACAAGGAGCUGCAGGACCAGCAGCAGCGGUAACAGAGCCAGCGGCAGCAGCCCAGGCCAGAGCAGCAUGGACAAGACCGGUGAGGGCCCUUCCAUUCGUUCCUUCGUUCAUUCAGUCGUAUUUAUUUAGCGCUUCCCGAGGGCAGAGCACUGCACUAAGCCCUUUGAAAGUACAAUUCGGCAACAAAGAGAGAACAACGGGCUCACAGUCUAGAAGGGGUUCUUCCUGCCCCCCUCCUCCUCUUCGCCCACCCCGGGGGAGGCCUCUGGCUGCCCAAGAGGCAGGGGAAGGGCAGAGUUUGGGAUGGGGCGGAGGCUCUGGGAUCCGGGGAGGGAUGAGUUUGGGGAGGGAAGGAAGAGAGGCCGGAGGGGCAGAAGGGGCUUCUGGAUUCCGGGUUCCUGCGGGCUGGCGGGGGAUGGGGAGAGUCGGUCGUGAACUUUGCCCUGCCAUUAGUCGUCUGGGGGCGCAGGGAGGCAAAGUCCAGAUACACGGGUUUGAGUGAGCGAGUGGGGAGAGGGGCCGGGGAGAGGACCGGCCCUGAUGCCUGACAUUGCUCUCCCUGCCCCUUCCCCCUGCAAAGGUGACAGCACAGAUGUGGCAUUCGUUCGGCACGUACUGUGGGCCUAGCGUGUUAUGGGCAAGGAACGUGCCCGCUAGUUCUGCUGUUCGGUGCUCUGCACAUAGUAAGCGCUCAAUAAACCCCACUGACUGAUUGAUUGAUAUGAGGUCAUCAGGUUGGACACGGUCCCUGUUCCACCCGGAGCCCGCGGUUUAAGUAGAAGGGAGGGGGAGAUCAGGUACUGAGUUCCCAUUUUACAGACAAGGCAACUGAGGCCCAGAGAAGUGAAGUGACUUGCCCAAGGUCACGCAGCAGACAAGUGGCAGAGACUGGGAUUAGCACUCUCUCCUCUGAUUCCCAGGCCGGGGAUCUUUCGGCUAGGCCUCACUGCUCCCGCCUCCGCCCCGUCUCUUUGCAAGGUGACAGUGCCAGAGGGGCAGGGGACGCCCACCAGGCCGGGGACGCCCACCAGCACAGGUUGCGUCCCCCUGCCCCCCGCCCCAGCAUCAGCCAGCCCCCCUACCCUCCUGGCAGGAGAGGAGGCGCCCAGCGGGAGAGAGUCUGGGGAGGCCUGCUGGUCUCCUGCUGGGGUCCGAGGGUGGAGGUCCAGAAGGGACACUGAGGUCCAGGACGCUGGGCUCUGGGGGCUGAACUGAGUUUAGCAGGAGAGCUGCUCUGGGGGAGGGGGGGAAGACUCCACAGGCUCAGAGCUCAGUCAGUCAUAUUUAUUGAGAGGUUACUGUGUGCCAAACACUGUACUGAACGCACGGGCUCGGAGGGCU
rnacentral:lncRNA from 1 species